rnacentral:rRNA from 1 species
ACGCUGGCGGCAGGCCUAACACAUGCAAGUCGAGCGGUAGAGAGAAGCUUGCUUCUCUUGAGAGCGGCGGACGGGUGAGUAAUGCCUAGGAAUCUGCCUGGUAGUGGGGGAUAACGUUCGGAAACGGACGCUAAUACCGCAUACGUCCUACGGGAGAAAGCAGGGGACCUUCGGGCCUCGCGCUAUCAGAUGAGCCUAGGUCGGAUUAGCUAGUUGGUGAGGUAAUGGCUCACCAAGGCGACGAUCCGUAACUGGUCUGAGAGGAUGAUCAGUCACACUGGAACUGAGACACGGUCCAGACUCCUACGGGAGGCAGCAGUGGGGAAUAUUGGACAAUGGGCGAAAGCCUGAUCCAGCCAUGCCGCGUGUGUGAAGAAGGUCUUCGGAUUGUAAAGCACUUUAAGUUGGGAGGAAGGGCAGUUACCUAAUACGUGAUUGUUUUGACGUUACCGACAGAGUAAGCACCGGCUAACUCUGUGCCAGCAGCCGCGGUAAUACAGAGGGUGCAAGCGUUAAUCGGAAUUACUGGGCGUAAAGCGCGCGUAGGUGGUUUGUUAAGUUGGAUGUGAAAUCCCCGGGCUCAACCUGGGAACUGCAUUCAAAACUGACUGACUAGAGUAUGGUAGAGGGUGGUGGAAUUUCCUGUGUAGCGGUGAAAUGCGUAGGUAUAGGAAGGAACACCAGUGGCGAAGGCGACCACCUGGACUGAUACUGACACUGAGGUGCGAAAGCGUGGGGAGCAAAC